CCUUGGCUCAAUGCUGCAGUCAUGGAUCCCGGCAGAACCACGGUCCUGAACACGUGAUCACGAGAGUACCACGACGCAUACAUGCUGUUGACACAGAAGCCGGUGUGCUGACAUAAAAUGUCCAUCUCUCUUAGUUCAUCGUUGUUGCUCACGGAAACUCAACAGCUCCUGUGCUGGACUGCCUGGUGCUCACAUCUUUCUCUCAACCCUUCAGAGGUUUUUUUUAUUAUUUUUAUUUCAAAUUAAAUUAAAAUGUA